AUACGGGGGGUGCAAGCGUUAAUCGGAAUUACUGGGUGUAAAGCGCGCGUAGGCGGCUUUGUAAGUCGGAUGUGAAAGCCCUGGGCUCAACCUGGGAACUGCAUUCGAAACUGCAUGGCUAGAGUCUGAUAGAGGGAAGUGGAAUUUCCGGUGUAGCGGUGAAAUGCGUAGAUAUCGGAAGGAACACCAGUGGCGAAGGCGGCUUCCUGGAUCAAGUCUGACGCUGAGGUGCGAAAGCGUGGGGAGCAAACAGGAUUAGAAACCCCAGUAGUCC
rnacentral:rRNA from 1 species